CGGCCGCGUCGACGGCGUGCUUAACACAUGCAAGUCGAACGAUGAAGCCCAGCUUGCUGGGUGGAUUAGUGGCGAACGGGUGAGUAACACGUGAGUAACCUGCCCUUCACUUCGGGAUAACUCCGGGAAACCGGGGCUAAUACUGGAUACGACCAACCUUCGCAUGGGGUGUUGGUGGAAAGCUUUUGUGGUGAAGGAUGGACUCGCGGCCUAUCAGCUUGUUGGUGAGGUAAUGGCUCACCAAGGCGACGACGGGUAGCCGGCCUGAGAGGGCGACCGGCCACACUGGGACUGAGACACGGCCCAGACUCCUACGGGAGGCAGCAGCAGUGGGAAUAUUGCACAAUGGGCGAAAGCCUGAUGCAGCGACGCCGCGUGAGGGAUGAAGGCCUUCGGGUUGUAAACCUCUUUCAGCAGGGAAG
rnacentral:rRNA from 1 species